UUGCUGCCUGUCGAUCAUGGAAGAGAACUUAUAUAAAGCCCUGCACCACGAGUUUAAUUCUUUUCGACGCUGAUCGUCGGCAUUGCUGGUUGUAGCAUGACUAGAUGAUCCCAGUUUGCAUUUCGACAGAUCGCACGGUGUUGGCUUAGGAAGUCAAAGUAACUUAAAUUUUAAGAUUGUGCUGGGCAUAUUCACUCAAAAUUAAUUACGCUUGGCUUUUAAAAUCUACACUUGACAAGUUAUUUUGCAAACAUGUGGUCAUGGCAAGGUGGCUAGUGUGUUUUAGGUGAUACGGUAGUCGAGAUUGAAUUGUGAAAUCCAGUUAUUGUAGGUGGAAUUAAGAUAUCUAGGCAUUUAACGGAGUUUUCUGAUGGUUUGUUCUGCUGUCCAUGAGGCUGCACUGUACAAUGGAAUUCUAGUGGUACUACUUGUUGCCAAAGCAGUUUGGGCUACCCUAUCUGUACUUUGUGAUUGUGGCAUGAUGGAAUUCAAAUAUGAAUUUGACCAGUGCUUGGUGGUGAUGCAGCUUGAUGACGUGCUACUCCACAUGGAAAGUACCAUUAAAUAUUUAAAAACAAAAUUUAUGUACGUUAACAAAAUACUUUGAAAAAGAACAAGUUUGCAGAAGUUGUGCUUGUGAGUGAAAGUUCUUCUUUUCACUGUGGUUAUUUGGUGGUGGUAAGAAUGCUGGCAGGGAAGUUUUCAUUGUUUCCGUAAGCCUAUGUUAAUUCUCGAUUCUUUUCAGAGUUAGCCUGUUGCUUCAUGGACCAUUUUUCUUGACUUUUAUAUUAGUUUGCUACUGUAGUUCACUCUUUGCUUGAUUGUUUUUUUUUAGUUUCUGUUAAUAAUAGACUGGUUUCCCAAUCUGUGGUUCACUGUUGUGGAUAUUAAAAUUUAAGCUGAAUGUUUUAGAAUGAUCUAUUGGUUGUCACUUAGAUAGCUUAAUUGGCAUUUGGACAAAGCGCAAUGUGCUUGCUUGUCUUGAUCACAUUGUCUUAUCCUGUGGUGGUUUUCUUUGGGUGAGUUAAAUACUAUAUGAUAUUUUAAGGUGUGAUUAACUCUUAUUUAAUUCUAUCCUAAAGUUUGGCAUGUUUUACAAAACCGAUUAUUCAUGUGUUAUGAAUUGAGAAAUUUCCUUUCUACGUAUUCCAUGUGAUAACUUUUUAUAGGUAGAAUAAUUAUAUAACUUGGUUUUGACAAGGUCUGUGAAGCUUGUUUGCCCUUUCGAUUUUGUUACAUGCCGUGGUGGUGAGUUUUAUGUGAAUUUUUUCAUGUGUUGAUUAUGCAUUUGCGUUGUUACCAGAUAUUCGCUGUUCCUGCUUGGUGGUCAUUGAAUGAGAAUUUUUUGACAGUUGUGGGAAUUGGGAAUUGAUUUUCUUUUUAUGGUCUUAGAUCUGUAGGUACUACUUGGGUUGUCCUCGUGUGGACAUCGCACAAAUGUGGGGUAAGGGGAAUGUUGGUGGUCAGAUUGGGUAAGCAAUGUUAAGUUCGCUAAUUUUAAUAGAUUUGAAAUUUUUUUAGGAUGACCAUUCGACUUGGUUGAUAAUUGGGAUAACAUGGUGCUAUGUCAUCCUCUUGACAGUGGCUGGUGUUAUGUUCUGACAAUUGAAGUAUCCACGAAGUAACCGAGUAGUUUUACAUGGUUUACUUGGCAUCCGUCUUAGUCGAAGAGUUUGACAAAAUGGGACUGACGUGUUAGAUGUAGAAAUAUAUCCUUUAUGUUGAAGACGAUUCCGAAGAUAUUCUUUUACUAAAAUUAACAGUACAUCCUUGUCAUAUUCUUUGGCCCUGUUUUACUUGACUUGUGAUAAGCCUGUGUUGUGGCAGGCCGUUCGGUGGUUAUAAGAGAAAUACUUGGGAGUGAUGUCCGUUGUAUGGACAUGAUGUGUACUCCAUUUGUAAUGUUAUCAGGGGGAUGAAGGGUCCAAGUUCAAUGCAAUCAGCGUGGAAAGAGUAUUUUCACAUGAUAGAAUUUAUGUAAAAAUGUUAAUGUGGAAAUUUCUUUAUUCGUAAAGUCUCAUGUUGUAUUAUGUGUUGGAAAAAAUCCCUGAUAAUCGACACACCACACUUAUUUCUUGUUAAUAACUUGUUUUUUAAAUGUAUAUCGAAUUGAUAAUAAACAUAAUUUCAAAUAUAA